rnacentral:lncRNA from 1 species
CGUACACAUAGAAGCAAUAGAUAGAUAGAUAAAUUAUAAGGUAUACGAUACUGCCCACAUGCACCGUAUAUCUAACAGUCGGGAACCCAGGAGUAUGACAGCAAUAUGAUUGAUGAUUGAGGAGAAUAUUAAGUCAAACCUAUAAAUAGUACCUACUUAGACAUAGGAAAUAAAAGUAAGGCAUACAGAAUGGAGAUGAAGG